AUUUCAAAUGUCAUUACGCAUACUCGCAUUAUGUAAAAAGUGUUUUCAACUCAUAGUUUAUUUGUUAAUGUUUCUAAUUCUAAUUUUAACUUUUCAUUUUAUAAAAACAAAAGUGUUCUGCAGGAGUUUAAUGUAAAAAUGUAUCAAUAUAUUCAAAUCAAUUCCUAAAAGUGAUGAUCGAUAACAGGCAUUGCCUUGUCUAGAAAUAGCAUUUUGGUUUUAAAAACAAAUGGUUUUAUUUUCUGUCAUUGGUCAGAUAAAAAUUAUUGAAAUAUAGACAGUUCAAUUUUCAUAAAGAUCAAUUAACCACUAUUCGUAUCAGGUAAGGCCAGCAUUAAAUGGUACACAUUAUUUGGUGAUUAAACACUAAUUCAACGUGUACAAAAAAAUAAGACAAGAUUAUAAGUAUUUUUUUUUAGAAAAUGUCACUAUUAUAAAUUAUUUAGUUGAAACCAUUUUUGACAUAAUAAUUGUAAUCCAUAUCAUUAAAUACCCGGAUAACUUUUUUCUUAUCAAUUACAAUUCAUGUAACCAUACUUGUGUGAUCGCUAUAGUAUAGUAAUGUACUUAGUAAAGCUUCGUGUUUCAAUAUUUACAAUGUAUAAUAUUUAUAUAUUAUAUAUAUCCCAUGUGCACAAGCCUCUGUACAAACAUUUUUUUGUUAAUACCAAUCAAAAAUGUUAAACUAUGGCUUAAGCACGCAUAAAGAAGUUUGGCAUAAUAAUAUAAACAUGACACCUGCAUUAGUAUAUAUUAACACACACGUAUUUUUUUUUUGGUAAACCUUUUAAAGUGAAAUAUACAUUUUAAGUACCUAACUACCUAAUUUUUCUAUAAUUUGUAUAAUGAAACAUCGAAAUAUAACAAUGUUCUAUUAUAUUUUGUUGAUAGUUUUAUUUUGUCUGUGUGGUAUUUGAAUCAGAAAUUAAAUAUGAUUUCAAUGGCGAGUCGUUAAAUAGCAAUUACUGCAAUAGUUACGUUUGUAAUAAAUACAUUUUCCUACUAUUUACUUCAACAUUGUAAACUGUUAUACUAAUAUAGUAUGUCAUCGCAGUGUCUGAAAAUAGGUUUAUUAUUCUUAUGUUAAAAUAAUAUUUGCUUUUUUUUGUUUUCAUAUUUAAAAUGUGAAUACUUACCUAUAUUAACAGUGUACCUUAUAUUUUUAAACGAGCAUUUGUACAUUUUAUUUGUAUAUAUUAUAUUUGAUACAUUUAUUAAAAAACAUAGUCAAAGUUUGUAGUAAAGUCAUUUAGUCGAUAAGUAGUAACAGACUUUUAAUUUUAUAAUGUAUGUUAAUCAAUUACAAAAAAACGGGUUUUGGAUUAUUUUUCAUAACAACAAUCUUAGAAGCCGGAUGAAUGUAUAGGUAUUUGAUUUGAUUUAAUACGCAUUAAAUGCAAGGUUGAAAAUAUUAUGCGUAGGUAUUUCGAUGUCUGGCAGACAGAUAUUUAUUAUUUAUCACAAUGAGUAAAGAGCUGUUUGCUUGAUUUUUGACGGUACCUAACUAUUAUUCCAUGUAUUUUUGUUAUUGAUUAAGUGAAAACUUCACAUUAAUGGACAUAAAUCUAAGAAUGAUUACUAAUAUAAGAUAGUGUCUGUAUACAUACGCAUGGUUCUAUUUUUAAUUUUAAUUUUUUAUAUUUUUAUGUUUAAAAUUUGAUUGAUAAGAUUUGUUUCUUGUAAGAAAUUGAUUGAAACUGUGUUUUGUUAGAUGUUUGGAGAGAGAAAGGAGUAUUCCAGAUUGUUCUCGAUCUUGACCUGGGAAAUUUGAGUAUCAAUAUAACUCCACAAGGUUUGGAAUAAAUACUUUUAUUUCCUUGUGAUGAGAACAUUUUGGGUGAUACUGUCGCAUCCAGAAAAAUGAACGAAGUCCCGUCUUUCAAAGCUAUACCAGGUCAGCUGAUAUCUCAAGUUUUUCUACGGUUUUUGGAUCACGAACAGACCAUCUCGAUUGUUUUUGGCUGUAGAUAAGGAUUUUACGACUUCGGUUUUUGCCACAUCGGGAAUGCUGCAGGGGUGAUCGGUGAUUGAGAGACACACUUUUUUAGACCCGGGAGCCAAUUCGGUAUUACCCAUGUGUCUAUUAUGUCAUGGUUUUAACUUAAUUAGGAUCAUAUGGUCGAUGGCGGACGGAACUAAAACGAAACUGCGGGGCGUAAAAUCGACGAAAUGGUUGUGAAAAUGGAAAAACAUAAAACCCGGAAGUUCCGUCCUAUGGAAACAUCGACUGGCUAUUCAGAUAUCUAUUCGAGAAAACGAGAAACCGAGUAUGUAAAAACCAACGGCGGCGGAAUCGGCUGCCAGUCUGCCACCACCGUAGAACCACAAAUACUGGCAGUAAAAUUGAAAAAAAGAUCGGGUAAACGAAAAUGCGCACUCGGUCAUUGUCAUUACCUUUGGGUAGACUGAUAGGUAGCUGUAACACUUUACAGUGUCUAGUCGUCUAUGCCCAUUGUGCUGUGGAUUCAAUAAAGACAUAUGAAUCAUGUUUUAUGUGUAUAUAUUUUUUCUUUUUUUGGUUAAGCAUCAACUACACAGGUUAUUAGCUUUACAAGUAUUUUAUGUAUAUUUUUUUGUGUUUUAUUAAUAACUUUUACAUUGUGACAUAUUAUGUCAAUAUUGCAUACAGUCCAGAUCCAAGCAAUGGUAUAUUGGAUAAUAUUGCGAUUCAG